CCUACGGGGGGCAGCAGUGAGGAAUAUUGGUCAAUGGUCGGGAGACUGAACCAGCCAAGCCGCGUGAGGGAGGAAGGUACAGAGUAUCGUAAACCUCUUUUGUCAGGGCACAAAGACUGGGACGCGUCCCCGAAUGAGUGUACCUGCAGAAAAAGAAUCGGCUAACUCCGUGCCAGCAGCCGCGGUAAUACGGGGGAUGCGAGCGUUAUCCGGAUUUAUUGGGUUUAAGGGGUGCGCAGGCGGUCUGUUAAGUCAGCGGUCAAAGCCCGGGGCUCAACCCCGGCCCGCCGUUGAAACUGGCAGGCUCGAGUGGGAGAGAAGUAUGCGGAAUGCGCGGUGUAGCGGUGAAAUGCAUAGAUAUCGCGCAGAACUCCGAUUGCGAAGGCAGCAUGCCGGCUCCACACUGACGCUGAGGCACGAAAGCGUGGGUAUCGAACAGGAUUAGAUACCCGUGUAGUC
rnacentral:rRNA from 1 species